rnacentral:rRNA from 1 species
UACAGAGGUCUCAAGCGUUGUUCGGAUUCAUUGGGCGUAAAGGGUGCGUAGGCGGCGCGGUAAGUCGGGUGUGAAAUCUUGGAGCUUAACUCCGAAACUGCAUUCGAUACUGCCGUGCUUGAGGACUGGAGAGGAGACUGGAAUUCACGGUGUAGCAGUGAAAUGCGUAGAGAUCGUGAGGAAGACCAGUGGCGAAGGCGGGUCUCUGGACAGUUCCUGACGCUGAGGCGCGAAGGCCAGGGGAGCAAACGGG